AGUGAUAUUGGAUUUUGCACUCCAUUUCAAAAGAUAGGAGCUACAACAAUCAUUUUUCCUCUUAUAGGUUUGCUUAGAAAAUUAGAGGUUCAAUAUUCUGACAUAUAUAUAUAUAUAUAUAUAUAUAUAUAUAAUGUGUGGGUGCAGAAUUUGAUUUUUAUUUAGUUCGUGUUGCAUGAUGGUCCGAUAGUUGAAGACAAAGGUGAGUAGACGAGGUAUUCUAAGUUGCAUGUCAUUCUUAUUUUUGGCCUUGGUUUUAAAUUCUUGUCAAUUCUUUCCACUCUCUUUAUGCUAGACUCAAUGCGAAGGAAAUUAUUCAAGCAUUUUAGACUACUUCUUCUCAUUAAAAGACCAAUGAAUUAAGUUAUAACCUUGAAAUUUGUCUCUGUGUUAUGGAGUUUAUGAUGAAUUGUGCUCUUAAUAGAAGCGGUUUACCGAUUUAAGAAUGAAUCAGACUUCGAACUCAACUCUGUGUUUGGCAGUUUGGAAACAAGUCCCGUUCUUGCUUAAUAGUUGUGCCCGUCAAAUAUUUUGUGCUGUAUGAAUUAUUCAAAUUUGACAUUUUCUUGCCACCAGGUUGACAACCAUUUAAUUGACUUACUUUUGACAGACAACUUAGUUAUGGCCUCCUGCUGUUCGGUUAGCAAUUAAUCCAUCUGACAUUUGACCUGCCUUUGUACACAUUGUUAGAACUUAGCAAAAGAAACAAAGUGCUUGUUAAUUUUCUUUUCGUCCAAGCUUUUUAUUUUAUUUUAUUUGUGAUAAUCGUGGGAUUUUCCCCAGGAAGUGCAUGCAGAAGAUAUGGUAGUAUCCAAGGUGUCACACUGGCUUUCAACGGAGGUCAAAGAAAUGUAAGUAAUUUUUUUUUUCCUUUAGGAGCUUUAUAUGACUCAUCUAAAAGCUUCUUUUAUUGAUAAGCUGGGCUUGAAUUGAGUUUCCAGAUUUAACAACUAUUCCUCAGUGGUUUGUUUACCUUUGUGCUACCAGCGGGCCAAACAUAUGGUGAUACCUUACAUGUCAAUGUUAAUUAGUACCUCUGUUGAAAUGCACAGGGACACAGGAUAUAGUAGUAGGGUACAUUUUUUCUCUUUAUUUUUCGUCUUUUUCCUUCACUUACAUAUAUUUAUAGGUUCAUCUCUUUCUAUUUUCAGUUGUGACAAAGGUGGACAGCUCUAUCUGCUUUGAUAUGUGAUGCAGACACAGGGAGCAAGAAAACAGCGUGAAGCAGUGAAAAGAGCCCCUCGAAAGCAGUUGCAACCAAUUUUUAAAGUUCAUGAACCAAUGAUUAAUUCAAUCUUAAAUUUAGAGAUUGUGUUUGUUUUGUUUGCUCGCAUCAUGAAAAUUAAGACACUUAUUCCUUUUUUAUCUGUGUCUAGGCUCUUGAUACUCUGGGAUGUAGCAAAGGGAGGAUAAACAAAAGAGUACUUCCUGCUGUUGAUAGAAUAUGGGAUAGUGGCGGUCGUCUGCUAAUUUGGUAGCCCAUGAUGACGUUACUUACUAUAUACAUCUACUAUCCUGUUAAGAUUCAAAAGGUCCUUUGCCAAAAAGAACCAGAUAUCGGAGAUGGUGUAGUACUCACGAAGUGGAAUUGGAUAGUAAAAUCUAUCUAGAAAAGAAUAGAGAAACUUGUCGCAACGUUGUGACGUCGAGCUCAAACUUCUUGUAUGUUCCAAUUGCUUCCCUGUUUUAUCUUUUAAGAUACUAAUAUGUAUAAUAUUAUUGGGGCAGUGUUGUAAUCACAAAUCAUAUAAUUUGUGUGUAUGUUGGAUUUUCCUUGUAA